CAAUAGCGUAUAUUAAAGUUGUUGCAGUUAAAAAGCUCGUAGUUGGAUUUGUGGUUCGUCCCGCCGGCUGGGUCAUUGACUUUUGCUGUGCUGGUCGUCCAUCCUUGGGUGGAAUCUGUGUGGCAUUAGGUUGUCGCGCAGGGGAUGCCCAUCGUUUACUGUGAAAAAAUUAGAGCGUUCAAAGCAGGCUUAUGCCGUUGAAUAUAUUAGCAUGGAAUAAUGAUAUAGGACCUUGGUACUAUUUUGUUGGUUUGCGCACUGAGGUAAUGAUUAAUAGGGACAGUUGGGGGUAUUCGUAUUCCAUUGUAAGAGGUGAAAUUCUUGGAUUUUUGGAAGACGAACUACUGCGAAAGCAUUUACCAAGGAUGUUUUCAUUAA
rnacentral:rRNA from 1 species